AGGAUCGGUUCACCAACGGUCGCUACUCAACAACGACUUAACAGUGUCCACCUUCGGUUUAUCAUCGGCUAUACGCAACUUCUCCUACCUCCUCUCUACCGCUACAUCAUCCGCUACUGAUACGCCAAUAAAUCCAGAAUAUAGUGUAGCGUUUAGAAAGUCCUUUAGUGAGCGAAGUAUAAAAAUAUCGAUUGACAUUUGAAUUUGAGAAAGAAUUUGAGGAAUCUUAGAUUCACUUAGAGAUAGAAUUUAAUAUUUGCGAGUUUCACCAGGUUUCAAGUUAUCACCAGGUAUUGAAUUUUUUAAUGAAGUAAUUGUAUCGAAAUUAAGAGAAUUCGUCUGAAUAUAAAGAAACCAUUGUAUGUUAGUAUCAUUUUUAAUAAAAAAUCUUUUAGGAGGUAAUUCGUUAAAAAAAAGCAUUCAUCUGUUGCUACAUACGAAUGCUUAUGAACUUUGGAAAAUUUUAUAUCUUACUGUUAUCUCUUGGAAUCGAAUUACUUUAUGAAGAAUUGUACUGGAGACAGAAGAUUGUGGGAAAUAAUUAUAUAUUAACUAAUAUCAGUUUUUUAAUUACUUUCUGUAAUAAUUACAUCGUUUUUACAGCGCUGAAAAUUGCAGAAAACCCGUGAAUAAGAAGAACGAAAGAAAAGAAGAAAUACAUUCUGUGUAACGCCAAAAACUUGUAAUAGACAUCAGGAGAGCAGUAUGCGUAUAAUCUAAUCUAAUCUAUUCGAAUUUUUUGUAGACAAUGAGUGCAAUUGUAGCAGUAUUUGCAACGACACAAAUAUGUUAUCGUUCCUUCCUACUCGUUAACAUCGUAUUUAUCCAUCUAUAAUCUGCGUUUGUGUUAAUUUAAAGGGACUUUGUGAUGCCAUAGGGAAUUUCCAAGGUGAUAAUAAGCAAUGUGGCAAAGAAAAUUAAAAAGGUUCUACGAUCAUUAUCUGCGGUAUUAAAUUUCUUUUAUUAAAUCUCGA